CAAUCAUACAAGUAGCAUUCCCUUUUCCAAACUUUCCUAUCCUCUUCCAAAUACUUUACAUUUUCUCCACCUACCCAAAACUUCCAUUCAACAAUUGCUUCAUCCUAACAGUUGAAAAUGAAGUUUAUUAAUUCGGCAAAAAAAUUUGCGGUGCAAUCUGAUUGGUCUCUUGUCAGAGUUGUAUUUUUAUUUUCAACGACCGUGAUUUCCUUGAUUAAAUAUGUUCCCAAGGCAUUGUUACUCAACGAGUAUGAUCUUCACAGCUGGAAAACCAAGGUGUGUGCCUGGAAUGAAGAAAUAUCGUGGGAGAAACACCUACGUAUUGGAGUCCAGGAGGCCAUCUCCAGUGUAUCGCAGAACUGGUUAUAGCCUUCAAAAGUUUCUAUCAAGUUGAAAAUGAAGUUUAAUAAGGAAUCCAUUAUGUGACAAUAUAUCUGCAAGUGUUGAUAUUCAUGUCUUCCAUCACAUUGCAAAUGAGUUCACAUGUGAUAUGAAUAGAGAUGAUAUAAGGAAGUCAACAUUUGUUUGAUAUAGAGCAAGAGGAAGACAACAUUUGUGUGAUAGGAACACACAUUAUAUAUACAACUAUAGGAAGAAGUAUUUCACUGUUUUUAUUUUAUUUUAUUGUCUUAAGGUUAAAUAUAAAGACAAUUCACAUGUACUCUAAGUUCUCAUUUUCUGAUCAUGUUGAAUUUUUAAA